GGUAAAAUAGUUUACCUCUCAAGUCAGUUUAAGCACAAAAAGGUCUGCUUGCAACUUAUCAAUGUAUUGGCCAAUGAGGGCUCCGAGAAGAUUUUUGGUUUGCUUGGGAUUUUGCCACUUCAGCUAUUCUGUACACCUUUUUGGACCUACACGCCAAGAUCUGAUCCGCUGCAAUGCUCACCAGGUUGGGCAUACAGCCUAGAGCCGGCAGUGUGCUGGCUGCUGGAGAAUGUGCGGGAGGGCAUGGUGGCAUAAGACCAUUGUCUCCUCACCGGGACCAUUAGCUUCACUUCCUUGAAGUGCAGAUGUGAUUGGCAUCAUCUGUGUUCCCUGUCCCAGGAAGGACCAUUGGUGUAGCAAGGAGGGA